GGUGGUGUAACCUACUCUCCUUGGAGGUGGUUAGGGAUAUGGGUGGAGGGGUUAGGGUGGUGUAACCUACUCUUCUUGGAGGUGGAGGGGUUAGGGUGGUGUAACCUACUCUUCUUGGAGGCCUGGCCGUGGGGCUGGAACCCCCCCAUGGGGAUGUGGCUCAUCCUCUGGACCAUGUUGGCC